rnacentral:lncRNA from 1 species
UUAAACUACGAAGCAUUGCAAAUCAGAAGGAAAAGUCUAACAAAUCAUAGCAUCAACAACAACUAUAAUAACAAGAAAAUGGAAGUAUAUCUAUCUCUGUAACUUGUUUGAUCCUUCCCGCUUCUUGUUCUUCUUUUCAACUAAAACCAAAAAGAUGAUGACGACAAUAGCGUGGAGGAAGUAAAAAAUCCUACAAUCGAGUCAAGGAGGACAAUGAGGAGGGGAAGGCAUUUGAUGUUAAAGGGGGCGAUGAGGUGGUUGAGGGUGUUGCAGAGGUGAUAGUCCCUCUUGAACUGGGCAGUGGUGUCCUCGAGAUCAAGAAGCACUUGCUAUUCCUCGGGGUCCCUUGCAGAGGUGAUACCCACGAAGAAGGAAAAGAGGUGUGCAAGAGGUUUCCUCGCAAGUCUGUGGCCCGAUCCUUCUUUGGCUUGUCGUUGAGAUGGUUGAAGAUCUAAAUGAUGUAAUGAAAAAUUCUUCGAAAGAGAUGUUGGUUUCCGAAAAAAUGUAAUUUUUUU